GACGAACGCUGGCGGCGUGCUUAACACAUGCAAGUCGAACGAUGAAGCCCAGCUUGCUGGGUGGAUUAGUGGCGAACGGGUGAGUAACACGUGGGCAACCUGCCCCAAACUCUGGGAUAACUCCUCGAAAGAGGUGCUAAUACCGGAUACGAACUGGACAGACAUCUGUACCAGUAGGAAAGGUUUUCGGGUUGGGAUGGGCCCGCGGCCUAUCAGCUUGUUGGUGAGGUAACGGCUCACCAAGGCUACGACGGGUAACCGGCCUGAGAGGGCGACCGGUCACACUGGGACUGAGACACGGCCCAGACUCCUACGGGAGGCAGCAGUGGGGAAUAUUGCGCAAUGGGCGAAAGCCUGACGCAGCGACGCCGCGUGAGGGAUGAAGGUCUUCGGAUCGUAAACCUCUUUCAGUAGGGACGAAGCGAAAGUGACGGUACCUAAAGAAGAAGCACCGGCUAACUACGUGCCAGCAGCCGCCGUAACAC
rnacentral:rRNA from 1 species